UACAUUAUAGUGUACGAGGCACAAGAGUUUUUGAUAUUCUAAGAAAUAGUUUAAUUCUAUUAAAUGUAA
rnacentral:tRNA from 1 species